rnacentral:lncRNA from 1 species
GGGCACUUAGUGACUUGCCCAUUGGUCACACAGCUAGGAAGGGUCUGAAGUUGGAUUUGAACUCAGGGCCUCCAUCUUGAGGUCUGACUUUCUAUCCACUAAGCCAUCUAUCUUUCUCUUCUGUUUGUCUUUCAAAGUCCUUCAGAACCUGUUUCUUUUUAACUUUUUACACUUUGCUCUCUACCCUCAGUUCCUCAGCCAUGUACUUUGCAAUCCAGACAUUGGCCUCCUAGAUUUCUAACUGUAGUCUCUUCUUUUGACACACAAUUCUCUAUGCGCCUUUUUUUUCUUUUUGCAGAGGUAUUGGGGACUGGAGAAAAGGAGUACUUCGUUGUCUUGUUGGUUAUAUGAUUAUUAUCAAGGAAGAACACCAACAACUCUUUAUUGGCACCAGAGCCAUUUCCAAAUCAGCUCUCUGUGUGCUGUCCAAAUACCAGUGCAUUACAAAUUUGAUCAAAGCUUUUGCAUGCCACAGUCAAACAGAGGGAGAAAAUGGUGAGUAUACUUUCAUGCCGUUGACUUCUAACCCAAGGUCUCGUAACUGUUCCUUGUAACAUGACACAUGCAUGAGGUAAUGUUGGGAGAGGAAGUCAGAGGCAGGAGGAUAGAGGUUAUCCAACUGUUUGACCCUAUGACAGAGCCCAGGCUCAGGAACUCUCCGGCCACAUCGCAUAGUCCAGAAGAGUUGGUAUUCCCAAUGUUCCUUGGAGUCAUUCUUGAUGAAAUUAUAUGAAUGAAACAAGUAAGUUUUUGCAGGCAGUUUCCUACAGUGGACCACAUCUUUAUAGUCAUGUUACUUUGAGACAGGGAUAGAAAAUUCACAAGCCCAGGAUCAGAGCACAGUUUCCUUAUUGGCUACACAAAACAAGCUUCUGACUCAGUAGAGUUUUCUUCCAUCCAAGAUGGCACCCAUGCCUCCAGGGAGACCAACCAAAUUACAGGAGUAUAAAGGAAGAGUUGUGCUGUAGAGGUCCAGCUCAUACAUAUAAUUCUCACAGGGGUUUGAAUCGCCUGUGGGGGGAGGUUGGAAGCUGGAAAGCAAUGUGUUAAGCUUAUAGGCUAGAGAGAAUGAGACAUAGAAGGGAGAGAGAGGGGGGGGGAGAGAGGGAGAGAGGGAGAGAGAGAGAGAGAGAGAGAGAGAGAGAGAGGUAACACAACAACAAAACUUUAGCAUGGUCUCAGCAUGUCAGCAGGCCAGCUCUUCCUCCUCAGAAUUUAUUAAUUCUUGGGGGCAGCUGGGUAGCUCAGUGGAUUAAGAGCCAGUCCUAGAGAUGGGAGGUCCUAGGUUCAAAUCUGGCCUCAGCCACUUCCUAGCUGUGUGACCCUGGGCAAGUCACUUGACCCCCAUUGCCAUAGCCCUUACCACUCUUCUG